rnacentral:rRNA from 1 species
ACGAACGCUGGCGGCGUGCUUAACACAUGCAAGUCGAACGGAAAGGCCCUGCUUUUGUGGGGUGCUCGAGUGGCGAACGGGUGAGUAACACGUGAGUAACCUGCCCUUGACUUUGGGAUAACUUCAGGAAACUGGGGCUAAUACCGGAUAGGAGCUCCUGCUGCAUGGUGGGGGUUGGAAAGUUUCGGCGGUUGGGGAUGGACUCGCGGCUUAUCAGCUUGUUGGUGGGGUAGUGGCUUACCAAGGCUUUGACGGGUAGCCGGCCUGAGAGGGUGACCGGCCACAUUGGGACUGAGAUACGGCCCAGACUCCUACGGGAGGCAGCAGUGGGGAAUAUUGCACAAUGGGCGGAAGCCUGAUGCAGCAACGCCGCGUGCGGGAUGACGGCCUUCGGGUUGUAAACCGCUUUCGCCUGUGACGAAGCGUGAGUGACGGUAAUGGGUAAAGAAGCGCCGGCUAACUACGUGC